UUCUUCUGAAUAGGGGGGUCACAAAGGAAAUAUUUUAGGCUUUUCAAACCACAGUCUCAAAUAGGGUGCCUGUACCCCCACAAUAACACUUCAAAAAUAUAAACAACGUUCUUAACUCCUCAGCUAUAAAGACACAGGCAGGGCUGGCUAUAGUUUGCCUAGUCUUAUUCUAGUCCUUAAUGGGAUAAAGGGUAGUUAAACCUCAACUUCAUGCAAGCAUGUAUGGUCACAGUAACUUACAAGUGCUGGCUGAAUAUUUAUUUCAACAUGGUCUUCAUCAUAAUGCUUUCUGGCACCUGAAAAUAUCACCAAGUGCUUGUUUGGUCAAUUAAUAAAGCAUGUAUUAAAACAUACACUUUACCUUAGGGAAAAAGAAACUCAGUGAUUAUGAAGAAAUAACUCAAACUGAGAUUUAAGUUUACUGUAAUGUGUAUAAUUAUAUACUAUGUAUAUAAUUUUAGUUUUACAUGUAACAUCUUUUAUCUCAAAUAACUUCUGAAACUUGCUGUGAUUCUAGUAAGUUAUUUUUGAAUAUUCCCAAAG
rnacentral:lncRNA from 1 species